CCUACGGGAGGCAGCAGUGGGGGAUAUUGCACAAUGGGGGGAACCCUGAUGCAGCGACGCCGCGUGGGUGAAGAAGCGCCUCGGCGCGUAAAGCCCUGUCAGCAGGGAAGAAAAUGACGGUACAUGAAGAAGAAGCCCCGGCUAACUACGGACCCGCAGCCGCGGUAAUACGGAGGGGGCAAGCGUGAUCCGGAUUUACUGGGUGGAAAGGGGGCGCAGACGGCGAUGCAAGCCAGGAGUGAAAGCCCGGGGCCCAACCCCGGGACUGCUCGUGGAACUGCGUGGCUGGAGUGCAGGAGAGGCAGGCGGAAGUCCUGGUGUAGCGGUGAAAGGCGUAGAUAUCAGGAGGAACACCGGUGGCGAAGGCGGCCGGCUGGACUGCAACUGACGUUGAGGCCCGAAAGCGUGGGGAGCAAACAGGAUUAGAUACCCGUGUAGUC
rnacentral:rRNA from 1 species